rnacentral:rRNA from 1 species
AGAGUUUGAUCCUGGCUCAGGAUGAACGCUAGCGGCAGUGCUUAAUACAUGCAAGUCGAGGGGCAGCAGGUCUGUAGCAAUACAGAUGCUGGCGACCGGCAAACGGGUGCGGAACACGUACACAACCUUCCUUUAAGUGGGGAAUAGCCCAGAGAAAUUUGGAUUAAUACCCCGCUAAUAUAUAGAAGUGGCAUCACUUUUAUCUUAUAGCUCCGGCGCUUAAUGAUGGGUGUGCGGCUGAUUAGAUAGUUGGCGGGGUAACGGCCCACCAAGUCUGCGAUCAGUAACUGGUGUGAGAGCACGACCAGUCACACGGGCACUGAGACACGGGCCCGACUCCUACGGGAGGCAGCAGUAAGGAAUAUUGGUCAAUGGACGCAAGUCUGAACCAGCCAUGCCGCGUGAAGGAUGAAGGCCCUCUGGGUUGUAAACUUCUUUNAUCUGGGACGAAAAAAGGGAAUUCUUUCUCACUUGACGGUACCAGAGGAAUAAGCACCGGGCUAACUCCGGUGUCAGCAGNCGGGGNUAAUACGGAGGGUGCCAGGCGUUAUCCGGAUUUNCUGGGUUUAAAGGGUGCCUANGUGGGCACGUNAGUCAGNNGGUGAAAUCUUUCAAGGCUUAACUUNGGAAACUGNCCAUUGAUACUAUUUGUCUUGNGANUUUAUCUGGANGGUAAGCGGNAAUAUGUCAUGUNGCGGGNGAAAUGC